GAUGAACGCUAGCUACAGGCUUAACACAUGCAAGUCGAGGGGCAGCAUGAAAGGAACUUCGGUUCUUUUUGAUGGCGACCGGCGCACGGGUGCGUAACGCGUAUCGAACCUGCCUCAUACUCGGGGAUAGCCUUGCGAAAGUAAGAUUAAUACCCGGCGGUCUCGGAUGGCCGCAUGACUAUCCGAGUGAAGAUUUAUCGGUAUGAGAUGGCGAUGCGUCCCAUUAGCUAGUUGGUGAGGUAAUGGCUCACCAAGGCAUCGAUGGGUAGGGGUUCUGAGAGGAAGGUCCCCCACAUUGGAACUGAGACACGGUCCAAACUCCUACGGGAGGCAGCAGUGAGGAAUAUUGGUCAAUGGCCGAGAGGCUGAACCAGCCAAGUCGCGUGAAGGAUGAAGGAUCUAUGGUUUGUAAACUUCUUUUAUACGGGAAUAAAGUGAGCCACGUGUGGCUUUUUGUAUGUACCGUAUGAAUAAGCAUCGGCUAACUCCGUGCCAGCAGCCGCGGUAAUACGGAGGAUGCGAGCGUUAUCCGGAUUUAUUGGGUUUAAAGGGUGCGUAGGCGGUUGAUUAAGUUAGUGGUAAAAUGUCAUGGCUAAACCUUGGCCAGCCAUUAAUACUGGUCAGCUUGAGUAUAGACGAGGUAGGCGGAAUAAGUUAAGUAGCGGUGAAAUGCUUAGAUAUAACUUAGAACUCCGAUAGCGAAGGCAGCUUACCAGACUGUGACUGACGCUGAAGCACGAGAGCGUGGGUAGCGAACAGG
rnacentral:rRNA from 1 species